rnacentral:tRNA from 1 species
GGCUACGUAGCUCCGUUGGGUAGAGCACAUCACUCAUAAUUAUGGGGUCACAGUGUCGAAUCCCGUCGUAGCCACCA